rnacentral:rRNA from 1 species
CCUACGGGGGGCAGCAGUGGGGAAUUUUGGACAAUGGGCGCAAGCCUGAUCCAGCAAUGCCGCGUGAGUGAAGAAGGCCUUCGGGUUGUAAAGCUCUUUUGUGGAACGGUCGGUACCUGAAGAAUAAGCACCGGCUAACUACGUGCCAGCAGCCGCGGUAAUACGUAGGGUGCAAGCGUUAAUCGGAAUUACUGGGCGUAAAGCGUGCGCAGGCGGUUUUGUAAGUCUGACGUGAAAUCCCCGGGCUCAACCUGGGAAUUGCGUUGGAGACUGCAAGGCUGGAAUCUGGCAGAGGGGGGUAGAAUUCCACGUGUAGCAGUGAAAUGCGUAGAGAUGUGGAGGAACACCGAUGGCGAAGGCAGCCCCCUGGGUCAGUUGACGCUCAUGCACGAAAGCGUGGGGAGCAAACAGGAUUAGAUACCCUUGUAGUC